rnacentral:rRNA from 1 species
CCCUUAGACGUUCUGGGCCGCACGCGCGCUACACUGACCAGUGCAACAAGCAUCCGUCCUUGGCCGACAGGCCCGGGCAAUCUUUGAACAUCGAUCGUGAUCGGGAUAGAUUCUUGUAAUUUUUGAUCUUAAACGAGGAAUUCCUAGUAAACGCAAGUCAUCAGCUUGCAUUGAUUACGUCCCUGCCCUUUGUACACACCGCCCGUCGCACCUACCGAUUGAAUGGUCCGGUGAAAUCUCCGGACUGGCGUGAGUCGGAGCAAUCUGACAAACACCGGAAAGUUGAUUAAACCUUACCAUUUAGAGGAAGGUGAAGUCGUAACA